AAUGAGUCACUGGCUCAUCCAGUUAAGAUCAUCACCCACUUUCCUAACAAAACUUCUCUUCAAAGAAGGACUCGCUCAUCCAUCAGGUGGACCUCCACAGGAACAAAUCAUAUCCAUGUCAGGCGGCACCAAACCUAAAUCUGCUUCUGCCUCAGCAGACAGGACAUGAUGACACAGAAACAAGAGAGGGAAGCUGAAUCCCAAGGCAUUGUGAAGGGUGAGGGUGGGUAACAACAGAUAACUCACCACCAACCUCUUCCUAACCGCACAGAGCUUCAGCAUCACACACGAUCCUUGAGCCAUGACACAACUCUAUUUAGAAAAACUCCAAUAAUGGAAAUUAGAUUUCCAGGGCCAUGGGAGAAAUUGGUUUCAGAGUCAGAAAUUGAACUGAAUUAUAGAAAUAGGAUACUUAUUUUACUGUGAAUGAGCUAAAAUUUAUAUUUGCUACAAAUAUACAUCGUUUUAUUUUUUCUUUCUAGUUUGUUUGCUCAAGGAUUGAUUGAUUGGAUCUCAAGUAUAUACAUACAUAUGUAUAUAUAUAUUUUGUAUCAUCUAGAUUUUUGUACAAUAAAUUCCCUUAUGGAGAAAUACUGGGUCAAAAUAUAUAAGCAUUUUUAGAUCUCAUUUCAUAGUUCCAGAUUGCUUUCUACAAGAAUUAAUUUAAUUUACCUUGAUACUAAGAAUGAUUGGAUGGACUGGUUUAAACAUAUGUUUAUUAACUUUAGUUACUAGUAUUUAAAAGAAAAUAUUGCUAAUUGAGUAGUGGAAAAUGUUACUUCAUUUCAACAAAGUUACUAGAAAGUUUGAAUCUUAUGCCAUGCCUUUAUCUAUGAAGUGAAUUUCUUAUGUGUAUUGAGUUUUAGUUGGCAACAAUUAACUUUGAAAAAAUAAAUUGCUUUUUACAGCUUGC
rnacentral:lncRNA from 1 species